rnacentral:rRNA from 1 species
GUGUCAGCAGCCGCGGUAAUACGGAGGAUGCAAGCGUUAUCCGGAUUCAUUGGGUUUAAAGGGUGCGUAGGUGGGUCCAUAAGUCAGUGGUGAAAUCCGGCAGCUCAACUGUCGCACUGCCUCUGAUACUGUGGGUCUUGAGUUAAGUUGAAGCAGGCGGAAUAUGACAUGUAGCGGUGAAAUGCAUAGAUAUGUCAUAGAACACCGAUAGCGAAGGCAGCCUGCUAAACUUACACUGACACUGAUGCACGAAAGCGUGGGUAGCGAACAGGAUUAGAUACCCUGGUAGUCCACGCCGUAAACGAUGAUCACUCGCUGCAUGCGAUAUAAUGUAUGUGGCCAAGCGAAAGCGUUAAGUGAUCCACCUGGGGAAUACGAUCGCAAGGUUGAA